ACAUCCCGAUGCUAUUUCUAGAGAUAGAAAGUUACUUCGGUACAUCGGUGACAGGUGGUGCAUGGUUGUCGUCAGCUCGUGUCGUGAGAUGUUGGGUUAAGUCCCGCAACGAGCGCAACCCCUAUUGUUAGUUGCCAUCAUUCAGUUGGGCACUCUAGCGAGACUGCCGGUAAUAAACCGGAGGAAGGUGGGGAUGACGUCAAAUCAUCAUGCCCCUUAUGACCUGGGCUACACACGUGCUACAAUGGUUGGUACAACGAGUUGCGAGUCGGUGACGGCGAGCUAAUCUCUUAAAGCCAAUCUCAGUUCGGAUUGUAGGCUGCAACUCGCCUACAUGAAGUCGGAAUCGCUAGUAAUCGCGGAUCAGCACGCCGCGGUCGAAUACGUUCCCGGGCCUU
rnacentral:rRNA from 1 species